UACGUAGGGUGCGAGCGUUGUCCGGAAUUACUGGGCGUAAAGCGCACGUAGGCGGCUUUGUAAGUUAGAGGUGAAAGCCCGGGGCUCAACUCCGGAACUGCCUUUAAGACUGCAUCGCUUGAAUCAUGGAGAGGUCAGUGGAAUUCCGAGUGUAGAGGUGAAAUUCGUAGAUAUUCGGAAGAACACCAGUGGCGAAGGCGACUGACUGGACAUGUAUUGACGCUGAGGUGCGAAAGCGUGGGGAGCAAACAGG
rnacentral:rRNA from 1 species